UGGUGCUUCACACAGCAUUCGGCGCUGGUU
rnacentral:piRNA from 1 species